rnacentral:rRNA from 1 species
GCGAAGCUCUUGAUCGAAGCCCCGGUAAACGGCGGCCGUAACUAUAACGGUCCUAAGGUAGCGAAAUUCCUUGUCGGGUAAGUUCCGACCUGCACGAAUGGCGUAACGAUGGCGGCGCUGUCUCCACCCGAGACUCAGUGAAAUUGAAAUCGCUGUGAAGAUGCAGUGUAUCCGCGGCUAGACGGAAAGACCCCGUGAACCUUUACUGUAGCUUUGCACUGGACUUUGAGCCUGCUUGUGUAGGAUAGGUGGGAGGCUUUGAAGCGUGGACGCCAGUUCGCGUGGAGCCAUCCUUGAAAUACCACCCUGGCAUGCUUGAGGUUCUAACUCUGGUCCGUGAUCCGGAUCGAGGACAGUGUAUGGUGGGCAGUUUGACUGGGGCGGUCUCCUCCUAAAGAGUAACGGAGGAGUACGAAGGUGCGCUCAGACCGGUCGGAAAUCGGUCGCAGAGUAUAAAGGCAAAAGCGCGCUUGACUGCGAGACAGACACGUCGAGCAGGUACGAAAGUAGGUCUUAGUGAUCCGGUGGUUCUGUAUGGAAGGGCCAUCGCUCAACGGAUAAAAGGUACUCCGGGGAUAACAGGCUGAUACCGCCCAAGAGUUCAUAUCGACGGCGGUGUUUGGCACCUCGAUGUCGGCUCAUCACAUCCUGGGGCUGAAGCCGGUCCCAAGGGUAUGGCUGUUCGCCAUUUAAAGUGGUACGCGAGCUGGGUUUAGAACGUCGUGAGACAGUUCGGUCCCUAUCUGCCGUGGACGUUUGAGAUUUGAGAGGGGCUGCUCCUAGUACGAGAGGACCGGAGUGGACGAACCUCUGGUGUUCCGGUUGUCACGCCAGUGGCAUUGCCGGGUAGCUAUGUUCGGAAAAGAUAACCGCUGAAAGCAUCUAAGCGGGAAACUUGCCUCAAGAUGAGAUCUCACUGGGAACUUGAUUCCCCUGAAGGGCCGUCGAAGACUACGACGUUGAUAGGCUGGGUGUGUAAGCGUUGUGAGGCGUU